AAGAUAUUCCUUAUAGACGUAUGUGUUAAGGAGGGGUGUCUGUAAAUUAAUCUAGGUGAAUCAUGUUUAAAAAUGCAAUCGUUUAAAAAGAGAAGGCUUGGAAUAGGAAAUGUGGCAGAUUUUACAUUAUACAGAUAGGGGUUAAGUCGCUACCGGAACUCUUUGGAGUCCCAUGAUGCGCCGCUUAUGCACGGACGGAAGUUCCCAUUAAUUCAGCGGAGUGGCCCGUCUUGUCUAUAGAAGGUCUUACUUUGGUGUGAGUUUGUUGGUGGUCUUUGAAGCGGCAUGUGUUGAUGUUACGCAACAAGGACGUGCUGCUGAAGCUUUCAGUGUGACCCCAGUGUGGAGAGAGCAGCAACAAGGACGUGCUGCUGAAGCUUUCAGUGUGACCCCAGUGUGGAGAGAGCAGCAACAGGGACGUGCUGCUGAAGCUUUCAGUGUGACCCCAGUGUGGAGAGAGCAGCAACAAGGACGUGCUGCUGAAGCUUUCAGUGUGACCCCAGUGUGGAGAGAGCAGCAACAAGGACGUGCUGCUGAAGCUUUCAGUGUGACCCCAGUGUGGAGAGAGCAGCAACAAGGACGUGCUGCUGAAGCUUUCAGUGUGACCCCAGUGUGGAGAGAGCAGCAGGAGACACACGAUGGAAGCCUUCCAGAGACUCAACUACCUCUAUCAGGCUGCGCACUGUGUCCUGGCCCAGAACCCAGACAAUGUGGAGCUUGCUCGGUUCUACUGCCACACUGAGAGAACCAUCUCCAGGCGCCUGGUCCUCAGACAAGAUCCAUCUGUUAAAAGAACAGUGUGUAAAAAAUGCUGCUCCCUGCUGAUUCCUGGAGUAACUGCAACAGUGAGACAGAGAAAGUAUAAUCGGAGACAGAGGCUGACAGUGGUGCGAUGCCUGAGCUGCGGGCAGACCAAGCGCUUCCGCAAUGACCCCGAGUACCAGCUGUGGGUGGAGCGGCCCGAAGCCUUGCUGCAGAACCAGCCCAAGCCCGGGGAGACUCUCUGCCCUGGCACAGCAAGGGGUUCCUGCCCACAGGAAAGCUCCGGUAUAUUGCAUACACUGCAUAAUUUUACCAUCUAGGCAACAAAGUCAUGAAUUACAACAGAAAACCUCAAAGUUCCAAACCCUACGCUUUUACAAACCAAGUAUGGCAAUAACUGAAUUCAGAGGCCAGGCCUCCAGCCCCUGGGCCCUACACAGCCACUCAAGCCCUCAGCUGAAGCUGUCCUGCAUCCAGGGAAUCUGGCUCUUCUAAACAGACUGGACUGGAAAUUAACAUGUGUUCGUGCCAUAUGUGUUCAGCCCACUAGGGGGCGUGGCACUGACCUGAGCACUCUUUCACGUCUCUCUUUAGCCUGCUUAAUCUCAACUGUUUGAAUCCGCAGCAAGGUUUGUUUGUAAAAUAGUUGUUUUUUAUUGAACAUUUAAAACAUAGUAUUCUAAAAUGUCGUCUUUUUUGUAGAUUUUCACAUAUUAAAGGGUAGUGAGUUAAGACAUGUGUUUUGUAUUUAUAUAAUAAAAAAAGUGACUCCCUUUUAUAAUUCUUAUGAAGAUGAAAGACAGUUCCAGGUUGAAAUGUUUGUCUAAUUUUAAUAUUCAUCACAUCUCGCAAUACUGAACAACACACUGAACACUGAAGUUGUUUAAAGACGACGGUCACAUUAAAAGAUGGAUGCAAACUAGGGCUGGAAGGAUGGAAAAUCUAAGAAUUUGUAAAUAUACAAGUUAAUUUCUGCAAAUAUCCUUUGAUAGUUCCAUUAAAGGUGACACAACUUCCAUAAUGAAUAUAUCAUUUUUGGCCAUCAUGUGUAGACAUUGAUAUAGUCCCUUCUCCUUAAAAACAAA